UGAGUGUGUGUUUUCACUUGAGGUCCUCC
rnacentral:piRNA from 1 species